rnacentral:rRNA from 1 species
AACGCGAAGAACCUUACCUGGGUUUGACAUCCCCGGACCGCCCUAGAGAUAGGGUUUUCUCUUCGGAGACCGGGAGACAGGUGCUGCAUGGCUGUCGUCAGCUCGUAUCGUGAGAUGUCGGGUUAAGUCCCUUAACGAGCGCAACCCUUAUCCUUAGUUGCCAUCAUUUAGUUGGGCACUCUAGGGAGACCGCCGGUGUUAAACCGGAGGAAGGUGGGGACGACGUCAAGUCCUCAUGGCCUUUAUGUCCAGGGCUACACACGUGCUACAAUGGCCGGUACAGAGGGUCGCCAACCCGCAAGGGGGAGCUAAUCUCAGAAAGCCGGUCUCAGUUCGAAUUGAAGUCUGCAACUCGACUUCAUGAAGCUGGAAUCGCUAGUAAUCGCGGAUCAGAACGCCGCGGUGAAUACGUUCCCGGGCCUUGUACACACCGUAGUAC